UACGUAGGGUCCGAGCGUUGUCCGGAAUUAUUGGGCGUAAAGGGCUCGUAGGCGGUCUGUUGCGUCGGGAGUGAAAAACUUACAGCUUAACUGUGAGCGUGCUUCCGAUACGGGCAGACUUGAGGUAUUCAGGGGAGAACGGAAUUCCUGGUGUAGCGGUGAAAUGCGCAGAUAUCAGGAGGAACACCGGUGGCGAAGGCGGUUCUCUGGGGAAUAUCCUGACGCUGAGGAGCGAAAAGUGUGGGGGAGCGAACAGG
rnacentral:rRNA from 1 species